UACGGGGGGGGCAAGCGUUGUUCGGAAUUACUGGGCGUAAAGGGCUCGUAGGCGGCCAACUAAGUCGGAUGUGAAAUCCCCAGGCUUAACCUGGGAACUGCAUCCGAUACUGGAUGGCUUGAAUCCGGGAGAGGGAUGCGGAAUUCCAGGUGUUGCGGUGAAAUGCGUAGAUAUCUGGAGGAACACCGGUGGCGAAGGCGGCAUCCUGGACCGGCAUUGACGCUGAGGAGCGAAAGCCAGGGGAGCAAACGGG
rnacentral:rRNA from 1 species